GAGGUUUUAGCUUAAUUAAAGUGCUUGAGUUGCAAUCAGGUGAUGCNAGUUAGAGUUUUGCAGGCCUUC
rnacentral:tRNA from 1 species